UUAAAAAUAAGCUAAAUAAAGCUAAUGAACUCAUACUUCAUCUAUAAAGUAAUUCUUUUUUUUAAA
rnacentral:tRNA from 1 species